UAUAUUUUAUUGUAUGAUGCAUAUAAGUUUUUGAUACUUUAGGUAAUAGUUUAAUUCUAUUAGGUAUAA
rnacentral:tRNA from 1 species